GGUUCGAUGGCGUAGCCGGUUAUCGCAUCUGUCUAACACCCACUACCGGACCAACCACCACCAGUGGUGGGUCCGGCGGUGCACAGAAGGUCCCCGGUUCGAGCCCGGGUCGAAUCA